rnacentral:lncRNA from 1 species
AUUUAUUUUAAAAACUACAAUGACUAGAUUCCACACUUGCACAUACUUUUCAAAAACACGCUCAUGCAUAAAAUUACAUUUUGGGCAAUUUUAAUUACACGUUUCAUUCUUUUUAAUCAUAGUCAUCAAGGUGUCUUCCUUGGCUCCAUAAAUUACCGCACGAACAGAGCAACAAUUCGGAACCUCAUCGAGAGGACACAGGUGUCCCAGUUUCUUCUUGCCGUCAGACGCCCUUCACUCUUAGACAGAACAUAAGAUCCUGGGUAAGGCCAGAGGGAUGGCUUUGAAGGCAAAGGCACUUGCCAUCAAAUCUGAUGACCCGAGUUCAACCUUCAAGACCCAACCUUCAGGACAAGGGGAGAACCAACUCCUGGAAAUUGUCCUCUGAUCUACACAUCAGCCAAGGAGCAUGUGUGGGCAGGGGCACACACACACACCAAAUACACCAAAUAAAUAAA